rnacentral:lncRNA from 1 species
UAUGAGUCACAGCAUCUCGAUGAAUCACAACAGCUUCCUGUCUCACCACCAGUGUCAAAUCACAGAGAGAAAAUCAGUUGUGUUCUGUCAGCAUGUGAGAAUAAGUCAUUAGUCCAAUAUCCUUUUCCCUGAGGGUGUGUUGUAGCAGUCAGAGUGCUGCUGACUCUCCAUGGCUCACCAAUGGUUAAUUCAGCCCCCUUGAGGGAUUUGUACAAGCCUGCUGGGCCAGGGUACAGGGUCAAGCCUGUUUAAGUCAUGUGCACUGUCUUGGCUGGGCAUUAUUUGUAAAUUAUUUUGUAAAUAAUGUUUCUGCAACCGUAUCUUACAGCAAAAAAAGAGCUUCUGGAUAUCAGGACAGCGAUCACUGACCUCAGACUAGACAAAGAGCUUCUGGAUAUCAGGACAGCGAUCACUGACCUCGGACUAGACAAAGAGCUUCUGGAUAUCAGGACAGCGAUCACUGACCUCAGACUAGACAAAGAGCUUCUGGAUAUCAGGACAGCGAUCACUGACCUCAGACUAGACAAAGAGCUUCUGGAUAUCAGGACAGCGAUCACUGACCUCAGACUAGACAAAGAGCUUCUGGAUAUCAGGACAGCGAUCACUGACCUCAGACUAGACAAAGAGCUUCUGGAUAUCAGGACAGCGAUCACUCACCUCAGACUAGACAAAGAGUUUCUGGAUAUCAGGACAGAGAUCACUGACCUCAGACUAGACAAAGAGCUUCUGGAUAUCAGGACAGCGAUCACUGACCUCAGACUAGACAAAGAGCUUCUGGAUAUCAGGACAGCGAUCACUGACCUCAGACUAGACAAAGAGCUUCUGGAUAUCAGGACAGCGAUCACUGACCUCAGACUAGACAAAGAGCUUCUGGAUAUCAGGACAGCGAUCACUGACCUCAGACUAGACAAAGAGCUUCUGGAUAUCAGGACAGCGAUCACUGACCUCAGACUAGACAAAGAGCUUCUGGAUAUCAGGACAGCGAUCACUGACCUCAGACUAGACAAAGAGCUUCUGGAUAUCAGGACAGCGAUCACUGACCUCAGACUAGACAAAGAGCUUCUGGAUAUCAGGACAGCGAUCACUGACCUCAGACUAGACAAAGAGCUUCUGGAUAUCAGGACAGCGAUCACUCACCUCAGACUAGACAAAGAGCUUCUGGAUAUCACGACAGCGAUCACUGACCUCAGACUAGACAAAGAGCUUCUGGAUAUCAGGACAGCGAUCACUCAUUCUCCGAACACCCGACAAGGUCAAGAUCCCAGUUAUUUGCAAGAGGAAGAGAUGCAGGUACAGAGGACACAGAGCAGGGU